UACGUAGGGCGCGAGCGUUAAUCGGAAUUACUGGGCGUAAAGCGUGCGCAGGCGGAUGCUUAAGUCAGAUGUGAAAUCCCCGGGCUUAACCUGGGAAUGGCAUUUGAAACUGGGCGUCUGGAGUGCGGCAGAGGGGGGUGGAAUUCCACGUGUAGCAGUGAAAUGCGUAGAGAUGUGGAGGAACACCGAUGGCGAAGGCAGCCCCCUGGGCCUGCACUGACGCUCAUGCACGAAAGCGUGGGGAGCAAACAGG
rnacentral:rRNA from 1 species